rnacentral:rRNA from 1 species
CAAGGAAUUUUCCCCAUUGGGCGCAAGCCUGAGGGAGCAACGCCGCGUGCAGGACGACGGCCUUCGGGUUGUAAACUGCUUUUGCGUGGGACGAUAACGACGGUACCACGCGAAUCAGCCCCGGCUAACUCUGUGCCAGCAGCCGCGGUAAUACAGAGGGGGCAAGCGUUGUCCGGACUUACUGGGCGUAAAGCGCACGCAGGUGGUAACGCAAGUGGGGUGUGAAAGUCGGCAGCUUAACUGGCGGUGGCCAUCCCAAACUGCGUCACAUGUGGCCUGUAGAGGUAUGUGGAAUUGCCGGUGUAGUGGUGAAAUGCGUAGAGAUCGGCAGGAACACCCAGGGGGAAACCAGCAUACUGGACAUGUCCUGACACUCAGGUGCGACAGCGUGGGGAGCGAACCGGAUUAGAUACCCCCGUAGUCC